UAUAGCCAGCGCAGGUGGAACUCACUGUGAGGCGCUCCGGAGCUGCGUGGGGAGCCGCGCCGCUGAGCCGAGAGCCGAACCACCAUCUCCACAUGGGAGAGUGAAAACUGGAACAUGAGCUCCACGAACUAAGUUGUGUUUAUCCUAAAAAAAGAACUUUUCCUUGUUUCAUGCUCUGCCAGUGAGAAGGAAAAAGGAAAAUAUUUCUUCAGUUCAGGGCAUCUGAAUCAUAUUUCCAAUGGGACAGGCACUUUUAGGACAGUAAGUUCUGAGGUCAAGACUGGCUCUCUAUUUCUACCAUGAAAGACUUUCAACAAAAGAGCAGUGAAGCUGACUAUUCAGAGUCAAAGUCAAGCACUUUCAGGACUCUGCAGAAAACUAACAAUAUGAGAAGAAUUAAUGUUUCUUCUGAAGAUGUGUUUCCUGCAUGGAAAUACCUUACAUCAAGAACUAUGUCCUCAUAUAUGUUUGUACACUAACCAGUGAACCUGUUUCUUCAUAUGUAAACUAUGUUAAUGACAACAAUAAAAAAUGCAGCAUAAGGAACAUGAAAAAAAAUUGAUUCAGGUCCCAAACAUUUCUCAAGAUGGA